GAUGAACGCUAGCUACAGGCUUAACACAUGCAAGUCGCGGGGCAGCAUGGGGGUUGCUUGCAACUCCCGAUGGCGACCGGCGCACGGGUGAGUAACGCGUAUCCAACCUGCCCUUCACCACGGGAUAACCCGGCGAAAGUCGGACUAAUACCGUAUGUUGUCCAUUGACGGCAUCCGAUUUGGACGAAAGGCUUUGCGGUGAAGGAUGGGGAUGCGUCCGAUUAGCCAGACGGCGGGGUAACGGCCCACCGUGGCUACGAUCGGUAGGGGUUCUGAGAGGAAGGUCCCCCACACUGGAACUGAGACACGGUCCAGACUCCUACGGGAGGCAGCAGUGAGGAAUAUUGGUCAAUGGGCGUAAGCCUGAACCAGCCAAGUAGCGUGCAGGAUGACGGCCCUAUGGGUUGGAAACUGCUUUUAUGCGGGGAUAAAGUGGCCCACGUGUGGGCUUUUGCAGGUACCGCAUGAAUAAGGACCGGCUAAUUCCGU
rnacentral:rRNA from 1 species